AGCUUUGCGCAGUAGCAGUAUCGUAGUCACUGAGGUUUAUCCGAGGUGCGAUUAUUGCUAAUUGAAAACAGAAUUGAGUGCCCUAUUAUUUGGGGCCUCCAACUGUCAGGUCCUAAAGAAACCCUGGACAAAGCUCAGUGAGCU